rnacentral:tRNA from 1 species
GCCAGUUUGGCUCAGUGAGUAGAGUGUCAGCCUGUGGACUGAAGGGUCCCAGGUUCGAUUCCUGUAAAGGGCA